AUUGAACGCUGGCGGCAGGCCUAACACAUGCAAGUCGAACGAGUGGCGGACGGGUGAGUAAUGUCUGGGAAACUGCCUGAUGGAGGGGGAUAACUACUGGAAACGGUAGCUAAUACCACAUACCAUCGGAUGUGCCCAGAUGGGAUUAGCUAGUAGGUGGGGUAAAGGCUAACCUAGGCGACGAUCCCUAGCUGGUCUGAGAGGAUGACCAGCAACACUGGAACUGAGACACUGUCCAGACUCCUACGGGAGGAAGCAGUGGGGAAUAUUGGCCAAUGGGCGCAAGCCUGAAGCAGCCAUGCCGCGUGUAUGAAGAAGGCCUUCGGGUUGUAAAGUACUUUCAGCGGGGAGGCGUUACCCGCAGAAAAAGCACCGGCUAACUCCGUGCCAGCAGCCGCGGUAAUUC
rnacentral:rRNA from 1 species